rnacentral:lncRNA from 1 species
ACACGAUAGGCUACCUCCCCUAUCCUCUCCAAAAUCUGAUAAGGACCAAUAAAUCGAGGUGUCAACUUCUUCGACUUCAAAGCUCGACCAACACCAGUUAUCGGAGUAACACGAAGAAACACAUGAUCUCCCUCUUGGAACUCAAGUGACUUCCUCCUCUUAUCAUGAUAACUCUUUCUGACGACUCUGAGCAAUUCUCAUCUUCUCCUGAAUCAUCUUAAUCUUUUCUGUAGUUUGUUGAACAAUUUCCGGUCCAAC